GAUGAACGCUGGCGGCGUGCCUAAUACAUGCAAGUCGAGCGAACAGACGAGGCGCUUGCUCCUCUGACGUUAGCGGCGGACGGGUGAGUAACACGUGGAUAACCUACCUAUAAGACUGGGAUAACUUCGGGAAACCGGAGCUAAUACCGGAUAAUAUAUUGAACCGCAUGGUUCAAUAGUGAAAGACGGUUUUGCUGUCACUUAUAGAUGGAUCCGCGCCGCAUUAGCUAGUUGGUAAGGUAACGGCUUACCAAGGCAACGAUGCGUAGCCGACCUGAGAGGGUGAUCGGCCACACUGGAACUGAGACACGGUCCAGAGUCCUACGGGAGGCAGCAGUAGGGAAUCUUCCGCAAUGGGCGAAAGCUUGACGGAGCAACGCCGCGUGAGUGAUGAAGGUCUUCGGAUCGUAAAACUCUGUUAUUAGGGAAGAACAAAUGUGUAAGUAACUAUGCACGUCUUGACGGUACCUAAUCAGAAAGCCACGGCUAACUACGUG
rnacentral:rRNA from 1 species